ACAGCAGCAGCCACGGUAAUACGAAGGGUGCAAGCGUUACUCGGAAUUACUGGGCGUAAAGCGCGCGUAGGCGGUUAUUCAAGUCAGAGGUGAAAGCCCGGGGCUCAACCCCGGAACUGCCUUUGAAACUAGAUAGCUAGAAUCUUGGAGAGGUCAGUGGAAUUCCGAGUGUAGAGGUGAAGUUCGUAGAUAUUCGGAAGAACACCAGUGGCGAAGGCGACUGACUGGACAAGUAUUGACGCUGAGGUGCGAAAGCGUGGGGAGCAAACAGGAUUAGAUACCCCUGUAGUCCCUGUCUCUUAUAA
rnacentral:rRNA from 1 species